rnacentral:lncRNA from 1 species
CUCAUCUUCCUCAUCUUCAUCAGAAGAUUCAUCAGUAUCUUCUUCAUCAGAAGCAGCUUUCUUUGCGGGUGCACUCCCAUUUUUAGAUGGAACAGCUUUAGCUGCAGGUUUCUGAACCAUAAAAAAACAUGUAAGUGAGUUAUAGAGGGAGUUUUAAUAAACAAAACAAAAAGUUGGCAACGCAUUGUUUUUGCUAUAAAUUAAAGGUAUCAUGAAAUAAACUAAAGGGAAUUAUCAUCAUGCAAUAAACUUCAAAAUGUCUAUUACCUUGUCUUCAUCAGAAGAUUCUUCAGAAUCUUCUUCUUCAGAAGUAUCAACUUUCUUUGCAGGUGCACUCCCAUUUUUAGAUGGAACAGCUUUAGAUACGGGUUUCUGAACCAUAAAAAAAGUGAAUUAUAGAGGCCAUUUUAAAAAACAGAACAAUAGGUUGUCAAAACAGUGUUUUAAGAUAUAAAUCAAAGAAAUAUCAUGCAAUAAACUUCUAGAUGUCUCUUUAAUGUUUAAGAUGUAAAUAAAAGGAAUAUAUGCAAUAAACUCCAAGAUGUCUCUUCAAAUUUGCUGCACUC